rnacentral:lncRNA from 1 species
UUAUUUUUUUGUCUGGCUCUUCAAAGAUGUAACUUCUGUGACAUGUUUUGCAGCUUCUCUUGUGCGUGAGAGAGUAAAGGACACUUUGAUUCACUUGAGAUCCCUAGACAUGUUAAAAAAAAAGUGGAAGAAAAAAGUACAAGAAAACACACUCAUGCAACUGCUGAGGUGACGUAACCAGGGAAACCCUGGAAUUGAAAACCUGUCUUCCUGUAAAUGCCUAGCAUGCCAUCAGAGACCCCCUAACUGCUCCAAGUGGGAAGAGCAGUUCAUUCCUUGGUUGUGGCCCUUGUGGAAGCAACUUGCAAAGCAUGAUGAGCAGCAAUAGACGUCAGGACCUUCCCUAUUGGUACUCAUGUAUUUCCAAGAUCCUGCCAAACCUAUGGGGACAAGGAGGAGGCCUGAAUGACGAAUUCAGUCAGCAUUGUUACCAGUCUGAUCACCAUCUGAAUGUUGCCAAAGAAAAAUGAUAUCUUCCUGACAAGAAAUCAGCUACUGCCUGAAACCUCUGACUCUGAGGAAAAGAGAAACCUAUAAGCUGCAUGUACUUGCCCAGAUCGUCUUGCAGUUGGAAAUUCACAUGUGCCUGCAACCCUCCAGAGGAGAAAGUGAUUCAAAGGCUCUUCUUAGAUUACGAUGGGAAGUGGAGACCCAGACUUCAGGCACAAACUGGAGAGGACUUUGGUGCCAGCGUGACAUCCUUUGAGAUAGUUGCAGCUCAAAAGACCGUUGAAAUGAGCAGAGCCAGAGUUUGAUUAGACACUGAGAAAAAGAGUAGCUCAGGUCAGUUAAUCUAUCAUAUUACAUAUGGCAGAUCUAUAUGGUAUGAUACUGUUUCUCUGCCUGCUCUCAAAUUGUGUAAUUGAAGGGAUACAGUCUUCAAAUAUGUCCUUGCCUGAACAGUAGCUGUUCUGAUUUGCUUAGUGCUCUUGAUGUAGGACUCAAGAAACUACCCCAGAAAAUUCAUGGAAAUAGUGAGAGAAAUAUUUGUGUAGCAGCUUGUAGAGCUCACAAGAAUGGUGUUUUGGGAGGAAUAGGAAAUGUAUGGAGAGAGAAACCAAGCUGUUCAAGGGUAUGAAACAGUUUCUGUCCAAGCAGCACAUAAACAGAUUUGGACUCUUCAGCCCAUUACUGCCAUGACAGACAUUGAUAAAAUCAUGAGUCUGGUCUCCAAAACCAGCAAGUGACUUCGGAUUUUAUUAUUCUUAGUUGCCAUCUAGACACCCCAAAACCUGAGGAAGUUUCCUGUGCUUUAUAUACAACUUUCUUGACAUUUCUGAGCCACAGCUGAAGGUGAUUACUUUGCAGACACUUAAAAAAUCAUACUGGGAGGGGAUGCAUGAAGCAGAAAUAUUCAAAACUACAUGGGCAAUGGAGCUUGGAAUAACCAGUACUCAGACGGAUGAACUGAAAUCACAGGUAGUACAUUCACUACCACCUUUCCAUUCCAAAGAGAAUUUCAGUGCCAAAGUGGUGAUAUUUCAGUACUCCACUGAUAUAGCAAAAAUAAGGAAAGAGAACUGUAAUUGUUGAAAAGGACAUUUCUUGUAAGUUAAAAAAAAAAAAAAGUAAAACAACAAAUGCAUCUCACACUUUCUUGGAAAUGAUCCCCUCCAUCUUUCCCCCCCCUUUCAUCAUACUCACACAUGCCUGUAAUCUCCUUCCCCCAAAUCCUACAGGGCAAAGCCCUCAGUGGGUGGUUAAGAAAUUAAAAAGUCAGCCCAGCUACACAAGAGAGGAUAUUAACUGAUGUCAAAGUUCUUGUUUGGCAUCCCUGCAAGGGUACAGGGUUGAUGUACUUCUGGAAGAUGCCUCUGUGUUUUUCCUUUAACCUGACUUCUGAGAACUCUCCUAACUCUCUGACUUCUGAGAACUCUUGUGUAAUUGCUCCUUUCACAAAUCUCUAGCUGUACCAGAAAAAAUUGUUGCCCUGAGGUCAAGAUUCAGUUGUGUUGUGUCAUCAUUGAAGCCUGUUCUCAUUUCUGAUUCUGGCAGGCUGGCUACCUGGCUUCAAUGAAGGUGAUCAGUAUGACCUCCAGUCCAGUUGUGGAGACAUAGACAGAACAUCCACAAGGUGAACUGGAUCAUUUGAAUGCAAAUCUGAAUAUAAUAAAUACGUCUGUGGCUUCUUCCA